UACAGAGGGUGCGAGCGUUGUCCGGAUUUACUGGGCGUAAAGAGCGUGUAGGCGGCCACGCAGGUCCGUUGUGAAAACUGGAGGCUCAACCUCCAGCUGUCGACGGAAACCGUGUGGCUAGAGUCCGGAAGAGGAGAGUGGAAUUCCUGGUGUAGCGGUGAAAUGCGCAGAUAUCAGGAAGAACACCAAUGGCGAAGGCAGCUCUCUGGGACGGUACUGACGCUGAGACGCGAAAGCGUGGGGAGCGAACAGG
rnacentral:rRNA from 1 species